rnacentral:rRNA from 1 species
AGUGAACGCUGGCGGUAGGCCUAACACAUGCAAGUCGAACGGCAGCACGGAGGAGCUUGCUCCUUGGGUGGCGAGUGGCGGACGGGUGAGGAAUACAUCGGAAUCUACUCUGUCGUGGGGGAUAACGUAGGGAAACUUACGCUAAUACCGCAUACGACCUACGGGUGAAAGCAGGGGACCUUCGGGCCUUGCGCGAUUGAAUGAGCCGAUGUCGGAUUAGCUAGUUGGCGGGGUAAAGGCCCACCAAGGCGACGAUCCGUAGCUGGUCUGAGAGGAUGAUCAGCAACACUGGAACUGAGACAAGGUCCAGCCUCCUACGGGAGGCAGCAGUGGGGAAUAUUGGAAAAUGGGCGCCAGCCUGAUCCAGCCAUACCGCGUGGGUGAAGAAGGCCUUCGGGUUGUAAAGCCCUUUUGUUGGGAAAGAAAUCCAGCUGGCUAAUACCCGGUUGGGAUGACGGUACCCAAAGAAUAAGCACCGGCUAACUUCGUGCCAGCAGCCGCCGUAA